GGGAAGGUGGCUCAGUGGUAGAGAGCUUGCCUUGCAUGCAUGAGGCCCUGGGUUCAAUUCCUCAGCAACCCA
rnacentral:tRNA from 1 species